ACGCACGCUGGCGGCGUGCUUAACCCAUGCCGGUCGAACGGAAAGGCCCUGCUUGCAGGGUACUCGAGUGGCGAACGGGUGAGUAACACGUGGGUGAUCUGCCCUGCACUUCGGGAUAAGCCUGGGAAACUGGGUCUAAUACCGGAUAGGAGCCAUUUUUAGUGUGAUGGUUGGAAAGUUUUUUCGGUGUAGGAUGAGCUCGCGGCCUAUCAGCUUGUUGGUGGGGUAAUGGCCUACCAAGGCGGCGACGGGUAGCCGGCCUGAGAGGGUGGACGGCCACAUUGGGACUGAGAUACGGCCCAGACUCCUACGGGAGGCAGCAGUGGGGAAUAUUGCACAAUGGGCGCAAGCCUGAUGCAGCGACGCCGCGUGGGGGAUGACGGCCUUCGGGUUGUAAACUCCUUUCGCUAGGGACGAAGCUUUUUGUGGCGGUACCUAGAUAAGAAGCACCGGCUAACUACGUG
rnacentral:rRNA from 1 species